UACGUAGGGAGCAAGCGUUGUCCGGAUUUAUUGGGCGUAAAGAGCUCGUAGGCGGUUUAGAAAGUCAUGUGUGAAACCUCCAGGCUCAACCUGGAGAAGCCACUUGAUACUUCUAUGACUUGAGUUUGGUAGGGGAUCACGGAAUUCCUGUUGUAGCGGUGAAAUGCGCAGAUAUCAGGAGGAACACCGAUGGCGAAGGCGGUUCUCUGGGCAUUACCUGACGCUGAGGAGCGAAAGUGUGGGGAGCGAACAGG
rnacentral:rRNA from 1 species